UACGGGAGGCAGCAGUGGGGAAUAUUGCACAAUGGGCGCAAGCCUGAUGCAGCCAUGCCGCGUGUAUGAAAAGGCCUUCGGGUUGUAAAGUACUUUCAGUCGUGAGGAAGGUGUUAAGGUUAAUAACCUUAGCAAUUGACGUUAGCGACAGAAGAAGCACCGGCUAACUCCGUGCCAGCAGCCGCGGUAAUACGGAGGGUGCGAGCGUUAAUCGGAAUUACUGGGCGUAAAGGGCACGCAGGCGGUUAAUUAAGUUGGAUGUGAAAUCCCCGGGCUUAACCUGGGAAUGGCAUUCAAGCUGGUUAGCUAGAGUCUUGUAGAGGGGGUAGAAUUCCAUGUGUAGCGGUGAAAUGCGUAGAGAUGUGGAGGAAUACCGGUGGCGAAGGCGGCCCCUGGACAAAGACUGACGCUCAUGUGCGAAAGCGUGGGGAGCAAACAGGGAUUAGAUACC
rnacentral:rRNA from 1 species